rnacentral:rRNA from 1 species
CAAAUUUUGAUCUGAAAUCAGGUAGGAUUACCCGCUGAACUUAAGCAUAUCAAUAAGCGGAGGAAAAGAAACUAACAAGGAUUCCCUCAGUAACGGCGAGUGAAGCGGGAAGAGCUCAAAUUUAAAAUCUGGUUUGCUUGCAAGCCCGAGUUGUAGUCUGAAGAAACGUUUUCCAUAAGCACUGAGGCAAAAGUCCCUUGGAACAGGGCAUCAUAGAGGGUGAGAAUCCCGUCCAUGGUCUCAAGUUGUUUAUUUUGUGAUACGUUUUCAAAGAGUCAGGUUGUUUGGGAAUGCAGCCUAAAAUGGGUGGUAAAUUUCAUCUAAAGCUAAAUAUUGGCGAGAGACCGAUAGCGAACAAGUACCGUGAGGGAAAGAUGAAAAGAACUUUGAAAAGAGAGUUAAACAGUACGUGAAAUUGUUGAAAGGGAACCGUUUGAAGCCAGUCUUACUUGCCUGUGAUCAAUUUUUGCYUCGGCAUGAAUGCACUCUCGGGUAUGGUAGGCCAACGACAGUUUGGAAUGCGAGAAAAAAAUAAGGGAAAUGUGGCCUUCGGGUGUUAUAGUCCCUUAUAAAAUAUCGUGUUCUGGACUGAGGAUCGCAGCAAAAAYGUGGGCAGGUGGAUUUCUGUGGUAACUGUCGRUUAGGACAACUUGUUGACCUAGUCUUCCUUAGCCUCACUAUUUACCUCGCUUCUAAUUUGCUUAGGUCGUUGGCAUAAUGGCUUUAAAUGACCCGUCUUGAAACACGGACCAAGGAGUCUAACAUAUAUGCGAGUAUUUGGGUGGCAAACCCAUAUGCGCAAUGAAAGUGAAAUUAGGUGCCAAACCUUCACGGGUGGCAGCAUCGGCCGGCUCUGACGUUUUAACUGACGAGUCUGAGCAGAAGCAUACAUGUUGGGACCCGAAAGAUGGUGAACUAUGCCUGAAUAGGGUGAAGCCAGAGGAAACUCUGGUGGAGGCUCGUAGCGAUUCUGACGUGCAAAUCGAUCGUCAAAUUUGGGUAUAGGGGCGAAAGACUAAUCG